AAGUCGUAACAAGGUUUCCGUAGGUGAACCUGCGGAAGGAUCAUUAACAAUGAUACACCCAUGUAUGUGAACCAAACGCUUUCCGCUGGUAGGAGGGCUGCUUCCUCACGGAGGUGGCCGCCUAUCGGAUUUUUGUACCCACCUCUUUUAACUUAUACUGACAUUUGCCUAUGAAAUUCCAUACAACUUUUAGCAACGGAUCUCUAGGCUCUC
rnacentral:misc_RNA from 1 species